UCAAAGCAAAGUCUGCAUAGAAGUAAAAUUCUAAAAUCAUAUUUUUAAAAUUAUUGGGACACUUUUACUUCUUGAAGAUAAGAGUGACAUUUCCGUAGAAAUAGGUGAUGUCAUGUCUUUUAGUAUUGUGUGGCUUACCGUGAGAGCUCCAUUCCGCUGUUUAAUGUGCAAAAAGCACUUCGUUCUGGUUGAACGAGAGAAUUUAGCAACUUAAGAAACAAGACCGGCAUACAAGCUGCCAGGAGAGUGCGGGGAAUUAGAGAUUCAUUAUGUGGUAGCUUGGAAACAUUUAAAAAAGCUGGCUAUUCGAAGAAGUUUGAAAGUAGGGUGACACGUGAAUUAAGCAAGCAAACAUCGAACCAUUUCUCAAGGCAUGACGGCCCGGUGAUCCCUCACAAAAGAAUUUCAAAGCAAAAAUUGACGCAAGCAAUCCCGCGAACGAUCAAUUCUCAGUGACUGAUUCUGUGUGAAGCAUAAGAUAAGAUAUGAAAGUUUUUGAGCAGAGAGGGUCCGGAGAGCCGUUUUAAGACAAUUUAAAAUGGGAGGGCUGUAUCAAUUCAGACAACAGAUCAAUCAACAGAUCUCUGCCCAUCUAACAUGUUUACUCAGAAGAAAGAAACCACCACCACUUAUAAAAAUAAUAUUCGGGAAAAAAUUGUACAAAGACACGAACGAUGGAGUACUUCCACUGAUGGUUCUAGGAAAGUGCACAAAGUACGUACAAUCAACGGCUAAGGAAUGUUUUGAGAUGUGGAGAAAUGUUUGCUCUUCUUAAAUUCAUCCAGUCCAAUGCCUUUGGUCAUUGGCAUAUUCGAUUAUAUACGUAAGUGGCUAAUAAAAAUAUAACCGAACAAUAUCAA